UGCAAGUCGAACGCUUUUUCUUUCACCGGAGCUUGCUCCACCGAAAGAAAAAGAGUGGCGAACGGGUGAGUAACACGUGGGUAACCUGCCCAUCAGAAGGGGAUAACACUUGGAAACAGGUGCUAAUACCGUAUAACACUAUUUUCCGCAUGGAAGAAAGUUGAAAGGCGCUUUUGCGUCACUGAUGGAUGGACCCGCGGUGCAUUAGCUAGUUGGUGAGGUAACGGCUCACCAAGGCAACGAUGCAUAGCCGACCUGAGAGGGUGAUCGGCCACACUGGGACUGAGACACGGCCCAGACUCCUACGGGAGGCAGCAGUAGGGAAUCUUCGGCAAUGGACGAAAGUCUGACCGAGCAACGCCGCGUGAGUGAAGAAGGUUUUCGGAUCGUAAAACUCUGUUGUUAGAGAAGAACAAGGAUGAGAGUAAAAUGUUCAUCCCUUGACGGUAUCUAACCAGAAAGCCACGGCUAACUACGUGCCAGCAGCCGCGGUAAUACGUAGGUGGCAAGCGUUGUCCGGAUUUAUUGGGCGUAAAGCGAGCGCAGGCGGUUUCUUAAGUCUGAUGUGAAAGCCCCCGGCUCAACCGGGGAGGGUCAUUGGAAACUG
rnacentral:rRNA from 1 species